UCGAGCUAGACGUUGCGAUUUUUGACAUCUUGCUGGCACAUCACUUGAACCCAUGCUUCUGCUCGUUUUCUUCUUGGCAGCUUUGGCUGGCGAUUCAAAAGACGAUUGAUCCAAGAUUUCUGACGAAAUAUG
ensembl:ncRNA C25G4.16 ncRNA